GUGUGCAACCUGCCUUUAUCAGGGGGAUAGCCUUUCGAAAGGAAGAUUAAUACCCCAUAACAUAUUGAAUGGCAUCAUUUAAUAUUGAAAACUCCGGUGGAUAGAGAUGGGCACGCGCAAGAUUAGAUAGUUGGUAGGGUAACGGCCUACCAAGUCAGUGAUCUUUAGGGGGCCUGAGAGGGUGAUCCCCCACACUGGUACUGAGACACGGACCAGACUCCUACGGGAGGCAGCAGUGAGGAAUAUUGGACAAUGGGUGAGAGCCUGAUCCAGCCAUCCCGCGUGAAGGACGACG
rnacentral:rRNA from 1 species